UUAGUACACCCCUCCUGUCUACCUACACCUUAGUACACCCCUCCUGUCUACCCCUACUCCUUAAUACACCCUGUCUAGACCCUGCAUCUUAUUAAACUGUUCACUAUCCUAUCCUGUCCUAUUUCGCGCGCCUCCCCGUCCUCCUCCUCCGCGCCUGCGUCCCCACACACUAUAUAAGGCACUCCACUUGUUGCAAUGCGUGUGUGUGUGUGUAUCUCCCUCUCACUCUCACCUUCACUCAGUCCAGCGAGGCAGUGCUGCGCGGGAACACCAUCAGCGUCCGUUCUCUCACUCUCACUCUCACUGUUUGAUUCAUUCAGUCUCUCGCUUUCUUCUCUCUCUCUCUCUCUCUCUCUCUCUCUCUCUCUCUCUCUCUCUCUCUCUCUCUCUAAGCCAAGGAAACUAAAGACGAGAAUGGAGGAGUACAGUGAGGGGUUGUGGGGGGCAGCGAUCCCCCUUAAUAUAUCCUUCAAUGCCACGCCCCCCUCGAUCCCCGCCCCGCCCCCCCUAACGACUCCCUCAGCCUCGUUAUAGAUGACCCUAACGAUAUGAACUACCCGUGGAAGUUCAUACCAUUCUUCUACCUGCAUAUUACAAUCUACUGCGUCACACUCCUGCUGGGGGUGGUGGGCAACGUGGCAGUUAUCAUCCUUAUGGCAGGAGACCGUAAAUCGCGCAGCACCACCAAUAUGUUCCUGGUGUCCUUGAGUGUGGCUGACCUGCUGAUGCUGCUGCUGUGCGUACCCCUCAAGACAGUCUACUUCUUCGUGGUGCUGUGGGACUCUGGGGGCGCGGCUUGCAAGGUGGCCAGUUACGUAAUGAUGCUUUCCUUCACCGCCAGUGUUCUGAACCUUACUGCUGUCAGUCUGGAGAGGUUCAUCGUCAUUGUCUUUCCUAUGCGCUCCCGGUCUCUCUGCACCAUGAGUAACUGCAGGAGGUCAGUGGUGGUGGUGUGGGUGACCUCCCUCCUCCUGGCCAGCCCCGUCAUUUCCAUAAUGAGAGUGGACACGGUGGACUUCACUGACCGAGAGAACACAGUGUUGGUUACCGCUUAUUACUGCAAGGAGAUGGACUCUUUUGUAUUCUUGACCUACCAGCUUCUCGUUCUCUUCGUUAUCCCCGCCCUGCUUAUGAUAAUCUUCUACGCCUUCGUCAUUAGAGAUCUUUGGCGAUCGACUAAGACAAUUAAAGCCCUCACCAAUUACUCCAUGCCCCGUGGCUCAGAAACAUACUACCUUCGUGUAACAGGAGGCGAGGACCUAAACUUCAGAAACAGCAGGAGAUACGGGAGAACCACCACCACCACCACCACUACCACCACCACCACCACCACCACGAAUGGGAGGAUGAGAAGGAAGGAGGGACGUACGAACUCAGGGUACCUCUUUGUUCCUGCCUGCCAUGCUCGCUCUCGCACCCCUUCCCCGGGUAUCCUGCGUCACAAGGGUAGGGAAAAGGGGGAGGAUGUGAAGAAGGCAAGGAAGCAGGUGAUCAAGAUGCUGAUUGUGGUGGUGGUGCUGUUCCUGCUGUGCUGGGGACCCAACCUCGUUAUGAAGGUUUGCAUCAACCUCGGACUCAAGCAAUUCAAUGAGAUCUUCUACAACUUCAACAUCGUGUUUGUGCUUCUGCCCUUCAUUCACUGCUGCAUCAACCCCAUCAUCUAUUGUUCCAUGUCUAAGAACUUCAGACGGUCAAUGAAAAACGCUGUUCCUUGUCGUUGUUCCUGCUAUCAGCGCCGCCCUGCCCCUCCUAACUUGCUGAAUAGAGUAGUGACAAGAAGCGUGUAUUCCUCCUGCUCUCCUGAAGGCACCUCGAGGCACACUGACCUUGAAACUGUGUCCAGCAUUUAGUGAAGUGGCGUUCCGGAAGUUGGUGUUCUGCAGGGUUGGAGUCCCGUGCUGUUUUUGGUUCUUGGCUGAUCGUGAUGGUGGUGGUGGUUGUGAUGGUGGUGGUGUUUGUUGCUGUUGUUGUUGUUGUUUGUUUUUUUGUUGUUGUUUGUUUGUUUGUUUGUUUUUGUGGAGAGAGGGAGAGAGCGGGGUUUCAGGCUCUUUCUCUUUCUCUCUCUCUCUCUCUCUCUCUCUCUCUCUCUCUCUCUCUCUCUCUCUCUCUCUCUCUCUCUCUCUCUCUCUCUCUCUCUGUCUCCACGUCCUGCUCGUCUUCGUCUUCCUCGUCGUCGUCUUCUGUGUGAGAUUCCAUGUAGCGCUGACCUGACCUGGUAUCACCUCACCUGAUCUCACGUGACCUCGCCUCGGUGAAGAAAGAAGAGGGACAGGCAGUAUUCAUAACAAUAUACAUGUUUAAUAGAAUAAAAAGAAAAAAAUAGGCAAGUUACCCUUUUAA